AAGCUGGAAGUUAAAAGGGAGGAGUACUAGAAACUGAGGUAAGGGUUUUUAGCCACAGACUGUGAAUUGUGUAUUAAACCUCCCCACCACGUGUUCAGAAGGGAAUUGAAUGCAAGGAGCUAGAUGAUGUGCAAGGCCUCUUUCCACCCAGUUCUGGCAGUGCUGCUGGGAGGUACAGGGUGCCUUUCCCUGACGUUGUGUGUGAUUAAUCAUCUUGAAAUGACACAUGGGAGAAAACAUUUCAGAUCUGCAGCUUAUUUUCAGAAAGUUUCUUAUUAAAAUCCCCUGUUCCUUUCUCCAUCCCUUGCACCUUUUCCUCCUUCUCUUCCUCACCUGAGGACUACAGGUGACUUUUGCAUGCAACAUGUUUUCUCUCAUCAGCUCCUUGAAGGCUAAGCCCCUGAUCUUCUGCAAAAAUGCCACUUCUUAUUAAUGUUUUAUGAACUGAGCUUAUUAACCUGACUUUCAUUUUGUGUAAACUGUAAUUAAAAUGUAUGAAGAACUUGACUUGCAUUUGCCCUUCUGGGUUGAUUGUUUGGUCUGCCGAAACAGCAUCCAUCAAGAUCAUAACAAGAUGUGGGGUUUUUUGGUUGUUUUUUUCUUUUUUAAGGGAGACUUGAGUCAUUUCAUGGGGGUCAACUGGAGCCCAGGAAUGCCUUUUCCUUUUGGCAAGACUUCUGCAGCCAUGUGUGUUUACUGUGGACCUCUAGCUGGAAAUGCAGAGAUGCCUGAUCUGAUUAUCUCUGCUUCUGCUUCUUUACGCUGCGCUGCAUGUGGUCUGCUUUUUACAACCCAGGAUUCACACAAUGAAUUUUUAGGGUUGAGUCAGACACUCAGCUUUGGCAACAGCUCUCUACAGUGUAAUAUUGGCAAGACUGCCACAACGUCUCGUGGAUCAAGCACAUCAGUUCUUUGCUUCAUCUUGAAGGAGUCUGUGAUGUCCUCUUCCACAAAUCUGAACGACAACUCACAUUGUUGUGUGCAUCUCAAGCCUUUACAUGUAAUGCUGCAUGCCCUACAUUUAGAGGCUCAUGCUCAUCUCCAAAGGAUGCUGCAAGUCUCGCUGAGAGCGGCCACACCUUCCUGCCCAAGUUGGGAGCAUGGUGAGCUCGUGCAGGAGAGCCAUAGGAAGCUGGUGGUGCAGAGGGACGUGCUGUGCAACAUGAACUUUCUGCCCAUGCACAAGCUUAGGAAACAAUUCACUGUAGUGUCUUUACAUCGCUACGUGAUGCAGAAGGAUCGCUCUUUGCCAGCUGCCAAAUCAAGUGUUGUUGUACAGUCUCUGCCUUCAGCAACAUCCUCAGUGUUCUGGCAGUGGGACCCUUGA
rnacentral:lncRNA from 1 species